UGAUAUAUUAAAAACAACACACCAAAUGAAACAGGUCCAUUGUGAUUUCCUACUCAUCCCUAAACCCACUCAUAUGCUCCAUCAAUAAACUACUGCCGUCAAGAUUUCCGGCAUUAUUCCGGCGAAAUCCGGCAAGAAACAACCGCUGUCAUUCGUAACUCAUUUUUGGCGAUUUCCGGCAAGAAAACGAACCGAACGUAACAACAAUUUAGUUUGUCGCGUGAGUUCAGCUAAUAGGUGUAUCGCAAAUGAGUUGCUGAUAAGUGGACUUCCAAAAUCGAUUAACUCAUGUGACCCUUGACCGCUGAACCAUUAAUCAAUCUCCUGAUUUAGACGAGACCGCUGCCAUCCUCACGUCAGUGCCAUUGGCUUUCACUCUCGCUUUCCAAGCCAAAGGGGCAGAGAAAAUCUGCCUCUCUUCGCUCCGUUUUUAGCUGUUUUUAUGGUGAGCAGCAAUCGAUGAGGGUGGGGGCGCCAAAGUAAGAUCUAACUUUUCUACGGUUUUGGUAACAACAGACCUACUUUCAGCCUGAAUUUUACUUUUAGAGAAUGAUUUUGUUUGGUUUUGUUUAGUUGAAUAUUGCGUCCUUUUUAUGCACUUGUGCGUUUUUUUUAUUUUGCUUAUUUUUGUUCUAAAUUAGCAUGGUGCCUUGAAAUAUGGACAACGCUGCUCGAAUUUGGUCGGAAUUCAAGAAUAGUGGCAGCUUAGAGUUGGAUUUUACUAUAGAUCUUUGAUGAAAAUCCAUUUGAAACAAGAAUCACACCAACAGGUGCUUAAAAUGUUUAACCAGGAAUUUGAAGUUUAAGCAGUUCAGAGAACAACUUAAAUCCACCAGCAGAUUUUCCUAAGGAUCAAACAAAGUUAUGCAAGUUGCUUUAGGUCGAUCUGAAUCCGAUGAGAUGAGGCCAGGGCUUCACAAGGUUUCUAAGCUUCUCAAGGGGGGUCUUUGUUUAACCAACAUGCUUGUAGAAGAAGCCCAAAGGUUAAUACUACAAAGCCAUGUUAGAAGUACUUCUGUUAUUUAGUUGUUCCCAAUGGUACGUGAUUGGCCAAGGCUCCAACACUUUUUCGGAAACAUGGACGCCACUCGCGCAACGCGCGACAUUGAUAACACUAACUUGUAUAUGUUAGUUUUGUUUUACUUGGAAGAAUGUAUUCGAAUGAAAUAUUUACUUGUCACGGUUAUUUAUAUUAGAAUUGAACAUAGUUUGCUUUAUAA